CUCGUGAUUAGGACAGCCAUUAGAGCAGAUGGGAUCCGUCAUUAUUUUAUUUUCUACUGUGGUUACAAUGUUUAUGUCUGUUUGUGCAACUUCUGAUGGGAAGGAUACCAUCCAAAUCUGGAAUAAAAGCUUGCGCAUAAAAGAAGCAAUUCUCUUUGAAUUGGAAACAGUCUAUCGCUAUGUAGCGUACAGUAUCAAUAUGAACAGUUUUACUGCGAAUGCCAUGUGUAAGCUGUGUGACACUCUACAAAACAGAGACCGGAAACUGGUGUGUCGACGCCGUCUUUGUAAUCGUGUGAAAAUUGUGAUAAGCAGAUGAAUUCUGAAAUUCCGAACAAAUUAGCAUUGCUGUAGAUAGACAUUGACAUAAUAGACCGUUACAUAUAUUUGUGUACUAUACAUUUCAUUAACAUUCUACUUUCAAACUUGAAUCUAUUUUCACAAAUGUUUGGUCCGUCAGUCAUCUCAAUGUCAUGAUUUCAAAAAAACCGUGCACUUCCUCCUUCCUCUCCUAAUAUUCUGGCACAAAUUACAAUUUAUGUUUGUGAGUUGUUUUGGUUUGUACAUAUUUUAUUGAAUGAUUAAACAGAUUGGCGACAAGUAA